AGUGAACGCUGGCGGCGUGCCUAACACAUGCAAGUCGAACGAUGAAGUCCUUCGGAAUGGAUUAGUGGCGCACGGGUGAGUAUACCAUAGAUAAUGUACCUCUUAGUUCGGGAUAGCCACUGGAAACGGUGAUUAAUACCGGAUACUCCUUCUUGUCUUAAGACGAGUCGGGAAAGUUUUUUCGCUAAGAGAUCAGUCUAUGUCCUAUCAGCUAGUUGGUGAGGUAAUGGCUCACCAAGGCUAUGACGGGUAUCUGGUUUGAGAGGAUGAUCAGACACACUGGAACUGAGACACGGUCCAGACUCCUACGGGAGGCAGCAGUGAGGAAUAUUGCACAAUGGAGGAAACUCUGAUGCAGCAACGCCGCGUGGAGGAUGACGCAUUUCGGUGUGUAAACUCCUUUUAAGAGGGAAGAUAAUGACGGUACCUCUUGAAUAAGCACCGGCUAACUCCGUGCCAGCCGCCGCGGUAAAAC
rnacentral:rRNA from 1 species